AAAAUAUACGUUAUAUUGAAACGCGACGUGAGUUUUGUUUAUUACAGCUUGACACCUACACAAUUAGUGUAUAUAAUAUUACGUAAUAUACUUUAGAUAGGCAGAUGGAUUCAUGCAUUGAUUAAGUCUGUAUAAUACCACAGUGAACCAGGAAACGCGUUGUCAGAUCGAUUCCUAGUAUUCUUAGUAUCAAUGGCUGAUAAAAAUCAACCAUCGACCUCAGCGAAUGAUCAAGACCCAAAGCUUCCAUGGGCUGAAAAUAAAUUAAUGCAGAGGC